rnacentral:rRNA from 1 species
UACGAAGGGGGCUAGCGUUGUUCGGAAUUACUGGGCGUAAAGCGCACGUAGGCGGACUGCUAAGUCGAGGGUGAAAUCCUGGAGCUCAACUCCAGAACUGCCUCCGAUACUGGCAAUCUUGAGUCCGGAAGAGGUGAGUGGAAUUCCUAGUGUAGAGGUGGAAUUCGUAGAUAUUAGGAAGAACACCAGUGGCGAAGGCGGCUCACUGGUCCGGUACUGACGCUGAGGUGCGAAAGCGUGGGGAGCAAACAGG